AAAUUGACGGGACCCCGCACAAGCAGCGGAGCGUGUGGUUUAAUUCGAGGCUACACGAAGAACCUUACCAGGGUUUGACAUGCAAGUGGUAGGAAUCCGAAAGGUGACCGACCCUUCGGGGAGCUUGCACAGGUGCUGCAUGGCUGUCGUCAGCUCGUGUCGUGAGAUGUUCGGUUAAGUCCGCUAACGAGCGCAACCCUCGUCGUGUGUUAUACGUGUCACACGAUACUGCCGGUAUCAAGCCGGAGGAAGGUGGGGAUGAUGUCAAGUCAGCAUGGCCUUUAUAUCCUGGGCUACACACACGCUACAAUGGCAGAUACAAUAGGUUGCGAAACCGCGAGGUGGAGCCAAUCCUCAAAGUCUGUCUCAGUUCAGAUUGUAGGCUGCAACUCGCCUGCAUGAAGUUGGAGUUGCUAGUAAACGCAGGUCAGCUAUACUGCGUUGAAUACGUUCCCGGGGCUU
rnacentral:rRNA from 1 species